rnacentral:rRNA from 1 species
UACGGGGGGAGCAAGCGUUGUUCGGAUUUACUGGGCGUAAAGGGCGCGUAGGCGGCGCAACAAGUCACUUGUGAAAUCUCCGGGCUUAACCCGGAGCGGCCAAGUGAUACUGUCGUGCUAGAGUGCGGAAGGGGCUACUGGAAUUCUCGGUGUAGCGGUGAAAUGCGUAGAUAUCAGGAGGAACACCGAUGGCGAAGGCAGGUCUCUGGGCAUUAACUGACGCUGAGGAGCGAAAGCAUGGGGAGCGAACAGG